rnacentral:snRNA from 1 species
AUACUUACCUGGCGCGGGGGGAUACCGUGAUCAAGAAGGCGGUGCCUCCAGGACGAGGCCUGUACAUUGCACUCCGUAUGGGCUGACUCCUGCGACUACCCAAAUCGGGGUGGCUCGAGCGCAUAAUUUUUGGUAGUGGGGACAAGCGUUCGCGCUGUCCCUU